rnacentral:lncRNA from 1 species
AUUUCAGCAACAGAAUGAAGAAUUCCAAGAGUCUAAUACGGUUUAUUAAACAGGAUUUUAUCAUUGAAUCAACAUCCUACAAGAAUAUAUAUAACAUACAAAUAAGUAAUUAUGUGCAGGGAAGAACAUUUAAACAAAACUGUAAGAGACAUACAGUGGUGUAUUUUUAAAGAGACCGAAAGAACCUAUAAUAACUUGCCAUGAGUGUAUAUUUUCCAAACCAGAAGCUCGUUCAUAAUAAUAUACAAUUUAAAUUAAAAUUAUUGUAUGAACAUUACAGAUAAAGUCUCAAAAGAGAAAAUUUAGUUUUAAAUGAAACAUUUAAGUACAAAACAUUGAAAUAGUCCUUUCCAUGUUGUGUGACAUGUAGAAAUUUUAUGCUUUCACCAUUCAUGUAGCUCCAUAUAGAGGAAUGGGUCCCUGUCCCCCUCCCCCCCCC